GGGCCAAUGGCGGAACUGGUAUACGCGUACGGCUUAGGACCGUAUUCCGUAAGGAUUGGAGGUUCGAGUCCUCUUUGGCCCA
rnacentral:tRNA from 1 species